rnacentral:misc_RNA from 1 species
UUGCCACCUUCUGGAGCUCGCGGCGGACGCGCUCGCGCUUCUCCUCCUCGGACUCGUCGGGGGCCUCGGCGGCGGCCUGGCUCUGCAGCUCCUCGGCGGUGCGCUCGAGCUCCUCCAUCUCCUCGGCCUCCUUCAGCCGCCGCGCCAUCUCCGCCUCCCACUCCCUCUGCGCCUCGUCCUCCGACGGCUCCCCGGCCUCCUCG